GUAGGUGGCAAGCGUUGUCCGGAAUUAUUGGGCGUAAAGCGCGCGCAGGCGGUUCUUUAAGUCUGAUGUGAAAGCCCACGGCUCAACCGUGGAGGGUCAUUGGAAACUGGAGAACUUGAGUACAGAAGAGGGAAAGCGGAAUCCCACGUGUAGCGGUGAAAUGCGUAGAGAUGUGGAGGAACACCAGUGGCGAAGGCGGCUUUCUGGUCUGUAACUGACGCUGAGGCGCGAAAGCGUGGGGAGCAAACAGGGAUUAGAUACCCUGGUAGUCCACGCCGUAAACGAUGAGUGCUAAGUGUUAGGGGGUUUCCCGCCCCUUAGUGCUGCAGCUAACGCAUUAAGCACUCCGCCUGGGGAGUACGGCCCGCAAGGCUG
rnacentral:rRNA from 1 species